GAUGAACGCUAGCGGGAGGCCUAACACAUGCAAGCCGAGCGGUAUUGUUUCUUCGGCAAUGAGAGAGCGGCGUACGGGUGCGUAACACGUGUGCAACCUGCCUUUAUCUGGGGGAUAGCCUUUCGAAAGGAAGAUUAAUACUCCAUAAUAUAUUGAACGGCAUCGUUUAAUAUUGAAAGCUCCGGCGGAUAGAGAUGGGCACGCGCAAGAUUAGCUAGUUGGUGAGGUAACGGCUCACCAAGGCGAUGAUCUUUAGGGGGCCUGAGAGGGUGAUCCCCCACACUGGUACUGAGACACAGACCAGACUCCUACGAGAGGCAGCAGUGAGGAAUAUUGGUCAAUGGGUGCAAGCCUGAACCAGCCAUCCCGCGUGAAGGACGACUGCCCUAUGGGUUGUAAACUUCUUUUGUAUAGGGAUAAACCUACCCUCGUGAGGGUAGCUGAAGGUACUAUACGAAUAAGCACCGGCUAACUCCGUG
rnacentral:rRNA from 1 species